rnacentral:rRNA from 1 species
UACAGAGGUCCCGAGCGUGUUCGGAUUCAUUGGGCGUAAAGGGUGCGUAGGCGGCGGGGCAAGUCUGAUGUGAAAUCCCGGGGCUCAACCCCGGAACUGCAUUGGAUACUGCCUUGCUUGAGUACUGGAGAGGAGACUGGAAUUUACGGUGUAGCAGCGAAAUGCGUAGAUAUCGUAAGGAAGACCAGUGGCGAAGGCGAGUCUCUGGACAGUUACUGACGCUGAGGCACGAAGGCCAGGGGAGCAAACGGG